AAUCUAGUAAACCUACAUAAACUAUUCAAAAAAUAAAACUCAAUUUGGAAGAACAAAGCACAAAUUCCAGUGUCUGAAUGUAAUUUGUUGGCCAAUACCUUGAAUCAAAAAUUGUAACAUUCAUUGCAAUGGAAAAUACCUAAAACCACUCAGCGUCAAAAACGAAAUUGAACAAGCUCUUUUUGGACGGGGGAAUGAUGGCUCCUGGGGACGCUGCUCUUGUGCCCAAAACUCGCUGGAACAAUUAGCUCAAAAGGUUGGGGGUUUUUGGGGCUCGGAAUGAUUCAAAGAGCGCGUCGUCGACAACUGAAGCCCUAUGAAAAAGUUUCAGUUUUUGCGCAAACAAAUUGGAUUAUUCGAUUACGUGUUUGUACAAGCGCAUUGUGCGACCAAGGGGAAGGCGGGCCGACCGGGGUGGAGUGCUGGAAAAUCAGUAAUGCUGUAAAUUGCAUUUCCCUUCAGGGGUUAGACAAUAUCCCCGGGGUUUCAGAAAAAUAGACGGAUGGCGUUUGAUGGAGAGGUGGAGCAGGAAAAUCUGUCAAUUUUAUGGGGAAAGCGCAGCGUUAAAUGCAUAAGCGGAAGUCAAAGUAUUUUUUGUUUUGAUAGAUGAGACUUGGAGGAAGUUAAGGAUGGCAUUUCUGACGGAAGUCCAGGAUUAAGUAAUCUCCAAGGUGGGAAAAUUUCAUCUAUCAAACGCCGGGAAAAAAUGGGUCAUUGGAAAAAGAAUCCCCUAAAGUCGAUUCAGAGGUUUUUUGCGCAAAAAAAUAUGAAUAAGAACAAUUGACCGACCUAAUCUCAGCUGCCUCUGAAUUUCAUUAGAGAACAUAUUGAACCUUGGAAGGAAGGACUGCUCCUUUUCCCCCACUGAGUCAAGAUGAGCAAGGAGCAAGUGGCAAAAAGUGAGGAGAUGCACGUGCCAAAAGUCUCAAGUUUAGCUGUUGCUGUGGCUACUCGCAAAAAAUUUGCUCCGGGCGCUUUUAGCAAAAGUGUAACGAAGGACGGGGGACUGCGACUGGCAGGAAGGGCAUGAAGGACGAGGUGGCAGCCGGAAAAUUGAGGAAAAACUGAGACUGGGUUGGGAUGAGCACACAGAGAUGACGACAGCUUGGGCUUGUCAUGGCAGAACGCGACGUGAGCGGUGGCUUGGCCUUUGGCAAUUUUCUUAUUGCAUGCAUGUGGCAGCUAAAAAAAUACUGGCCAGGAACAAAACGUAGAGGGCAAAAAGGAUUGGGCCGGUAACGACAAAUAGUGUUGCAUAUUUAUGUGCGCAUCCACACAAAACAGGACUUUUGUAAUUAAAACGAGAGUGAAAAUGGUUUACUAUG
rnacentral:sRNA from 1 species